rnacentral:rRNA from 1 species
CCUACGGGAGGCAGCAGUAGGGAAUAUUGGGCAAUGGGCGAAAGCCUGACCCAGCCACGCCGCGUGCAGGAAGACGGCCCUCUGGGUUGUAAACUGCUUUUGACUGGGAAGAAAGAAGCUCAUGCGUGAGAAGUUGACGGUACCAGUCGAAUAAGCCACGGCUAACUACGUGCCAGCAGCCGCGGUAAUACGUAGGUGGCAAGCGUUAUCCGGAUUUAUUGGGUUUAAAGGGAGCGUAGGCGGCUUAAUAAGUCAGUGGUUAAAGGUAGCAGCUUAACUGUUUUACAUGCCACUGAUACUGUUGAGCUUGAGUUGACAGAAGGCAGAUAGAAUUUCUGGUGUAGCGGUGAAAUGCUUAGAUACCAGAAGGAAUACCGAUUGCGAAGGCAGUCUGCUGCAGUCACACUGACGCUGAGGCUCGAAGGUGCGGGGAUCAAACAGGAUUAGAUACCCUGGUAGUCCGCACAGUAAACGAUGAUUACUAGAUGUUGGCCAAGGCCAGUGUACGAACGGAAACGAAGUAAGUAAUACCACCGUACGGGGUACGGCCGGCGACGAGAACGACGAAGAAGUAGACGGCGUGAGACGAGCGACGACGACGACGGAGGGAGGAGG